rnacentral:lncRNA from 1 species
GCGAGAGAGGGCCUGGGCAGGCAGUGGGUCGCUGCUGGCCUCUGUCCUACUCUCACAUGUGCAGGUCCUGAACCUUUCUCAGGCGCGGAACCCAAGUACUCUCUGGGUCAGGAUCUCGGACACAGCAGUGCCCAAAGGUGUUGGGUAUUUUGUCUCAGCAACGAGAAAAGUAACUAAGACACCCAGGCUGGCCACAAAUUCUUGGUCCUCCUGCCUCACACUCCUAUGUAGUUGGGAUUACAGGAUACGGUGACAUAAGCAGCCAUCCUGGAUGGGGAGUCACACACCUUCUCCACCCGCUGAGGACCAUCUUCUCCAUUUACCUCUGGAAUACCACUUCAUUUGAAGAGGACAGAUCUAUUUGUGGGGGUCAGAAGACUCUGGAAGC